UUGAAAUCAAUGCAAAUUACAACGAGUAAUCAUUUCCAGCUGUCUAAACAGAAGCCCCAUUUGGCGUCCACAGUAGAGUCCUAAAUCCUAAGAUCAUGUCUUGCUGCAAACGUUUCUGUCGAGUCUGUCGUCGUUGGUACUGCUGCAGUGGAAGCCCGACCUGCUGUUGUGGUGCCUAUCGUGGUCCCUGCUCUGGACCGUGCGGUGGCCCCUGUCAUGGUGACAGCUGUGGACCCUGCUGCGGCAACUGUUCCUGCUCCUGUGUGAUGUGCUCUAGUGGCAUCGGAACAUGCGGUCAGCCCCGUGGCAGAUCCUGCUUGCCCCGAAGGUGCUGAACUUGAUGGAUUAGUGGCGUUUGGAUUUUACUGUGUGUGAUAAUUGGGAUACUACAAAAUUGUGUUGUAUGUGAAAUGAA